rnacentral:lncRNA from 1 species
GCUCUUCCUCUUCAUGCCACAAGUCACCAUGGUCGUAGUCAGCACGGUCGUCAGCCUCUUCUUCAUCGGGGACGUACUGGGCGCGUCCAUCCUGACUUUGGGUCUCGUCGGGGUUGUAGGCAUGGCCCUGCCCACCCUCGAAGAUCACGUCCUCCAUGUACUGGUUGUAGAAGGGGUCGUCGACCGUUGGCGUUGGUGGUGGCAUUCCGUCAAACAAGACGCGGGGGGCUGGCAUGGUGCUCGUGAACGGUGCCCGUGCUUGCUUUCUUUGCAUCUUGACGGACGGCCGGCCGCCGCUGCUUGACCCAGGCGUGACGUUGAGGUCGAUGACGGCCGCGGGGCGCGAUGUGGACGGCGCGAACAAGCCAACGUUCGGCGACCCCGAGAAACGGGUCUGGCCGUCGUGCCUUGGCGGAGGAAAGCCGGGCGACAUGGGCGCGGUCCGCGAUGUCGGCGACUGGCAGUGCGGAGGCCGGGUGACUGACGAGCCUGUGCUCGCCGGGCCGACGGCCGCUGCAGGGAAACCGGCCGGCCGGACCAUGCCAAGCAUGAGGAGGGCGUGCGCUUUGUUGACGAUGUCCUCCUUCUCGUCGACCGCGGCCUUGCGCCGCGCGGCCUCCAUCGCAUCGCGCUCGGCGGCGAACUUGGCCGCGGCGGCAUUGACCUUGACGGCUGCUCUCCGGCCCCUCCUCUUCACCGAUUCCGCAUCCAACUUGGCGAUCUCCUCCGGCGUGCACUCCGACCACGGCUUCCUUGGCGCCUUAGCCGCCUUCUUCUUCACCUUUCUUGGCGAGUCGUCGGCCAGGCCGCCGGAAUUCGGCUGGGCGUCGGCCAUGGACGGGGGAGAGAGGGGGCGGCGGGAGGGACNNNNNNNNNNNNNNNNNNNNNNNNNNNNNNNNNNNNNNNNNNNNNNNNNNNNNNNNNNNNNNNNNNNNNNNNNNNNNNNNNNNNNNNNNNNNNNNNNNNNNNNNNNNNNNNNNNNNNNNNNNNNNNNNNNNNNNNNNNNNNNNNNNNNNNNNNNNNNNNNNNNNNNNNNNNNNNNNNNNNNNNNNNNNNNNNNNNNNNNNNNNNNNNNNNNNNNNNNNNNNNNNNNNNNNNNNNNNNNNNNNNNNNNNNNNNNNNNNNNNNNNNNNNNNNNNNNNNNNNNNNNNGUUUCUCCCACCGACAGGCGGGCCAGGGGAGGACAAGCGCGCAUCCUGCCCGUCCGCAUGAUGUCCGUUUCACCCUAAAACCGGCGCAAACAUGGGCCGGGAUGGGUCGAAGACAGACACAAAACGGACAAAAGUCCGUUUUCGCCCCCGCGCUGGGCCGUCUGGUUUGUCUGUUUUACCCCAAACAGACGGGGGCGGACAGGAUGGGGUCGCGCGGUGGAGUUGGCCUUAGGAGGUUGUCGUUUGUGCUGUGUGUCUGGCUCUACCGUCCACACGACACACCACCACCGCCUGCCGGCGCUUGUUAAUUCUCUAAUUAGGAGUACAAAUUAACAACAACAAAAUUAGCAUGCGCGAGUAAUAACCUCAGCACAUACUGCCAAGUGUGGCACCCCUUUUCUCGCUGUCGCGUGAUUCUCCUCCAUCUCCUCGGUGCGUCGCAGCUGCCCGCUUAGCCUAGUACAGUAGUACUCCUACGUAGUAAGAAUAAGAAGUCUCUUCCUUUUCAUUUCCUUUCUUCUUUUGUCCCGGCCCCGUCAACAUUUUUUUUUUCAGGCUCCUAUUCCAGUUUCCACAGCAAAGAACGGCUGUCGUGGCGGAUCAAACCGCAGGCGCAUGCACGUGUACGAAGCAUGCAUGCAGCCAAGUGCACGUGUACCUACUCGUUUUCUGUUGUUGGGGGAAAAGACAAUGUGUACUGGCACACGGGCGGACCACUGAGUACUUACAUACGUACAUAAAAGUACGUGCGCAUGCUGUAGAAAUACCGGUAUCUACUACAAAGACGCUUUGCUAAUACUUACGUACUUUCUUUAUGGUCCAUCGGUUGGGUUGGAGCCUUUUGCAAAAGGCUACUAGCUUCUUUAUUUCUUUCCUGUACGAUGAAUGGAAUUCUGGGCCUGCCUGCCUGCCUGCCUGCCUCGGUCGCUUUUCAUCGCACACAGGAGGCAGGACCGUGUACGUGCAACAUAUAAUUAAGCUAGCUGCUUGCAUGGCUUUGAUUGAUCAGUUAGGUUAGGUGCGUCCCUUCCUUUUGGCGUCAGGUUAAUUACUUACUGCAUGGUCUUUUGAAGAUGAGUGAUAAUUUGUGAGAUGAUGAUUGUAUGAUGAUCAGGACGAUCAGCUGACAAGCAAGUCGUCGUUAGCGGGCGGGCGGGCGAGGUCUAUAAUGCAUGGCUGAGGUGGCGCGCGCGAAGACACGCAAGCAAGUUGUUGAGCGAGGGAUGCCCCGUCCGUCCGUCCACAUGCGUUUGCCGCUUAGUUUCCUCUUGUGCUGUUGGAGUGUCCCCGUCAGCCAACACAAGCGUGCGCCCGUCAACCGAUCAAUGAUAUGUAUAUGUCCGGAUGGAGUUGGUGUGGUUUCGGUAUGUAUGAUCCACGUGCCCGACUCAACGUGCAUGCAUGCACCCAGCUCGAUCCACCGCUUGACACCAUCCAUCCACUACGAUCCAUCCAGCAGGAAAGAUCGGUCGAGAGUGCAGCGAAUUACUUACACAGCUUGAGUUCAGUCGGUCUGUAUAAAAACAAAUGCAUACGUGUAGGUACGUAUAUGAUUGAUUAGCUUAGGCAUCGCCAUCCAAGUUGCCAUGAUAAUGUAUACUCCUAUUUGUGUCAAGUUGUAGGUGUGUAGCGGCGGGCGAGGCUUGCUUGGCUGGGUUGCCAUGUGGCAUCGUCAAGUCACAGAUUAAUAGACAGACAGAUUGCGCAUGAGGCGUACAGCUGACCCAUGCACGAUGCGUCGCGUACAAUGAUAGUGCUAGCUGCCACUCGAUUAUGGUCAUGCAAGUACGCAAUACUGUAAACCAAACAGUACGCCAAAAGCAAUAACAAAGUGUUGAUCCCAGAACAAAGAGGAAAAAAUCCCAUAAAAACACACACACACACACACAGAGAGAGAGAGAGAGAGAGAACACCCCCGUGCUCAAAAACACCCAAAAGGUCUUUUGAAAACACCCAAAGGACACCCGUUAUGGAUCACUUCUUCUGAGAGAAGAAAUGUUGCUGAUUUACUUUUUUUAAUUUUUAUUUUUGAGACAAGAUUUGCUUUUUUUUAGAGAGAGAAAGAAAUGUUGCUGCUGAUGGUCCAAGACUGUCAUUCGGUAGGCCCAAGGGCAACCAGAGAGACACGUUGGUAAUUGUGGCCCAUCAAGAAAAAAAAAGGAGGGGAAACGAAAAAAGAAACGACGCCUGAGAGAUUCGAACUCUCGCGGGGAAACCCCAUGUACUUAGCAGGCACACGCCUUAACCACUCGGCCAAAGCGUCGCUUGGUGACCAUUCUUCGAAUGGAAGACUGUCAUACACAGGCGACGACGCAAAGCACUUGAGAGAGGCUGAUUGGUUGGAGGAAGCAUGCACCCAUGUAAGCAUACAAGUUGUCAACAUCUGAAACCAAAUGUACUCCUUACUUUCCUAACAACCUGUUACCUUUGGGCUUUGGGCAGUACUGUCCCAUAAAGGCAUGCAUAACCAAGUCUCUCUCAGGUCACAUGUACAAGGAAAUUGCUGUGCGGACGAUCUUUCAUGCACGAUUUUGUGCAUAACAUGUUUUUGAAGCCACACAAUUUUUUUUUCAAAAAAGUCAAUCCAAUGGUGUAUGUGGCUUAUCAUGUGUGGAUCGUCCAUGAAUUCAUCGUCUGCCUAGCAGUGCUCCUUGUACAAACCAUGUAUUCCGAGCACUAGUGCACUUUCCAAGCAUCCAAGCAUGGAUCCCAACCAUUGUUAAUAAAAAUCGAAAAGCUUUUUACUACGCCAUCGGUCCAUAUUAGCUUUGGUCCAUAAUCUGAAAUAUAUCUGUCAUUGUAACUGUUUGGAAGAGCACAACCAUGAGGGAGUCAAAUAUCUACAAGUACUUUAAUCUGCACACUAUAUUCAAAAGAUACACAUAUUUUUUUAGUGUAGUGCAAUUAGUGUUGAAGAGGACAUAAGAGCAUCUCCGAUAGCUGGGAAAUGCCCUUUGGUUACUGGGUGUAUAUAUACACCCGAUAUAGAUCCUGGGUGUAUGUACACCCGAUAUAGAGAAAAAUAAAUAAUUAAAAAGUCGAAGAAGUUCAUAAGUUUUUUAAACAAGGCUGACUUUCUUUUGCACUAGUAUAUAACUUUUUUUGAAUAAAAAAAUUCCGUGACUUCAUGGAAAAAAAUAGUAAUUUAUUGCUAUAUACAAGCCACUAUUCACACUUUUUACCUAUAUUUUCUUAAGUCAACGGGCUUUUUUUUUCUUUCGUGGGAUAUUUUUACGAGUACAAUGAAAGGUCAAGUUUAUUUCAAAAAUAUUUUCAAAUAAUUGACUUUUUUUUUCAUGUAGGGUGUAUAUACACCCAAGAACCAAACUUUACUGUCCUCCAAUAGCUGCCCUAUUUUAGCGCACUUGGAGGCAAAAAACCCUCUCCAACAGCAGCCAGACCAUAAUUUUUUUGGGCAACCCUAAAAUGGGCACCAAUUGCUGCAAAUAUACAUCACUUGGGCGGCUGUCGCAAACUGAUGCGACGCCCAAUCGCAACACUUUCGCUCCCGUGCGUGACCGGUUGCGGCGCCUCCGCCCGCCCGCCGGCUGCUGAAUCCAGCAGUGAAGUUCAACUCAACAAAAUUCAUGCUUUGAUUUUUGUUUCCUCGUAAGAUGGCCGUUGCAUGUUUGGUUCCGCACGCAUCUCAACGAACCUCCUCUCGAGUGAACGUAGUUCUUGUCGGACCUAGCUCGCCAGCCGGUCUAGCUUUGCUUUCAUCAAAGCAACCAAGCUGGCCACCUCCCCGCUGUUCCAUGUACGCUCGACCAUCGUACAAAGUCAUGAUGGGUUCCCCACAUCUCUUCAAAACAAAAUGGCUUGUCCUCAACUAUCCUCUUGUUUGAAGCUUCAACUUCAUUACAUAACACAAUAGGGUAGUGGUCCUAUUUUGCAGCCACCAAGUGACGCAAAGGGAAACAUAGAAUUCAAGCUGGCUGUCACCAAAGCCCUGUCAAGUCCAACUUGACAGAAUUGUCGUCCACUAAAUCUUUUUUGAAAGCUUAUUCGAGAUCAUCGAGUCCACAUAGAUCCACCGCCUCCCUAAAUCCUACCAUCUGAGCCAUAUCUCUCGAAUUAGGUCCCAUUUGUUCCUCUCUCUGACACCUCAUUGAAAUCUCCAAUCCAAAGCCACGAAAGUGUAGAUUCACCCGGUAGUCAAGCCAUCGUGUCCCAAAUCUGCUGGCAAAGGCUUUUGUUAGCCCUGCCAUAGAAGCAUGUUAACCUCCAUUCUCCCUUCCUACUUCUGACAACCGCAUUAGUAUGGUAUUUUGAAAAACUCUUGACCCGUAAAUUAACUCCAUCACGUCAAAACACACCAAUACCAUCACUUCUACUCCCACUACCCACAGCAAAACCAUCAUCAGAACCCAACUUCGUCGUCAAGCCUUCCACUCUCUGUUUUGACAAUUGAGCCGGCCCACAAAUACUUUUUUUGAGGGGAUAGUCCCCAAAUAACUAAGAAGCGGCUUUGGACCGUGAUCUCGCAGCUGAAUUUUUUUCUUGAGGCAUGACUCGCAGCUGAUUUUAUUUUUGAGGGAACGUCGCAGCUAAUUAAAAAACGUGCUUCGUUCGGGUUCGGCCUUUUGUUCCCGUGGAAAAACUGUCCAGAGAGCCCAGAUAAACAAACAAGGCCUACUUUUUUCUACCCGUGUCUUCGAAACGCCUUCCGGGCCGCUCGGUUCGCGCUGGCGCCGACAAUGGAACGAAGCCCACAGGCCCGCGAGAACCCUAGCAAAGAAGCCCCUCCUCCUCUCUCUAUCCGGCCGCACCCUCGCCACCGCGCCUCCCCUCCCCAAAACUUGGCCCCGCCUCCUGCCGCCACCCUCCGUCCUCGCCGCGCCUCCGCCGUUCCGCCCCGGGUUUUCAGGUACGAGGUCCUCUCCACCCAUCUCCUAGCCCGGUCCCGCCUCCUCCAUCCCGAGGGACGACGCGCCGCCCCUGACGAGCAGCAGCCGCCGAAACCUAGGGUUUACUCGCCGUGCGGAUCUCUCACUGCCGCCGCUGAUUCGGUUUGCUCUGCGUGCAGGUCGCCGGCCUUCGCCCCGUCAGCCAGCCGCCGCGUCCAUGGCGGAGGUCGCGCCCGUUGAUGUAAGCAUCCAGCAACUCUCGCAACUUAUUAGAGCCAGGCCUUCUCAUCCGCCGCAGCAGCUUACUGACACGGUCGUUGGUUCUGUCUUUGUUUUGCUUGCAGCAGGGGAAGAAGGAGGAGGAGGAGUUCAGCACGGGGCCCCUCUCCAUUCUCAUGCUCAGCGUCAAGAACAACACUCAGGUUGGUUUGGUCGACCUCUUGCCUCUAUUGAUUCGUUUCUCAGCUUAGCAAGGGCAGAUUUUAUGUAGUAAUUAGUACUUACUGUCUGUCUGCAUAUCCGUGUGGACUGAACACCUGCCCUUCUGGAGAGCUGGUGUUCACCGUUGUGCGUGCACUUGCUAAAACACACCAAUCGACUUAUUCGCCUGUGAUCCCGUCGUGCAAGCGAACACUAGUUUCCCUCUUUAGUGCUACAAUGCUAAGCGCACCAUCACGUAAAUGUGCGAGUAAUUGACCAUUGUUUUGGUGCAGUUUUUCGUCAAAUGCCUUUGGUAAUAUAGUGUGGCACUUCAAAGUUAAAUGCACCAUUGCGUACAUGAGAAUUUAACUACUGCAAAAUUAGAUUCACAAUCGUGUAAUAAUUAGUAAAUACAAUGGUUUCUCUACACCCCUUUUGUCAAUCAAUUGCCCUUUGUAACAGUAUUGUCCUCUUUGUACUGCAAAGUUAAACGCAAUAACCUGUAAUAUGUGAGUAAUUAACCAUCUCGUUGUCACAGAUUUUAGCUCGCUUGAUGUGAUUAUGAUUGCAAGUAAACUGGUUAUUUUCUUCUACUCCGUAACAAAUAUGAAAAAAACUAGAUUUCUAGGCGAUUGCACUUGCACUGACCUUAGUCUAUUUGCAGACUUCCAUCAAUUGCCUUUGGUAAUAGUGCUGCUCUCUUAGUACUGCAAAGUUCAAUACAUCUUCGUGUAAUAAAUGAGUAAACACUAUAGCUUCCCUGCAGCCUUUCCUCAAUCAACCACCUUUGGUAAUAGUGUCCCUUCUUAAUGCUGCAAAGUUAAAUGCACCAACACAUAUAUGAGUAUUUAGAUUUUAGUUUGCCUGAUGUGUUUAUGAUGUAAACUGCAAGUGCACUGAUUAUUUUUUCUACUCGGCAACAAAUACAGGGAAAAUAGACCUCUAGGUGACUGCACUUGCACUGACCAUAGAUGAGUAAUUAACCAUGCUUUUGGUGCAGCCUUUUGCGAGAUGCCUUUGGUAAUGUGUAGUACUGCAAAGUUAAAUGCACCAUCGUGUAUAUAAGUAGUUACUAAGUAUGAACCGUAGUUUCUGUGCAGCCUCUCAUCAGUUGCCCUUGUGAUAGUGCUGCUAUCUUAAUGCUGAGAAGUUGAAUUCAGAAUUGUGUAAUAAUGAAUAAAUAUGAUAGUUUCUCUGCUCCUUUUUGUCAGUCAAUUGCCCUCUGUAACAGUGCCGUCCUCUUGGUACUGCAACGUUGAAUGCAUCAAGGUGAAAUGUAUCUGUAACCAACCAUCUUGUUGUCACAGAUUUUAGCUUGCUUUGUUUGUCUUACAUUAUGGGACGGAGGGAGUAAAUUGCAAUAAACUGGUUUCUUUCUUCUACUUGGUAACAAAUAUGGGGAAAAGUAGAUCUCUAGGUGACUGCACUUGCACUGACUGUAGCCUGUAGGUGAUGUUUUCCAUGUUACAAGUUCUAAUGAUGUAUCCUCUCUUCUGCCUUAGGUGCUUAUCAACUGCAGGAACAACAAGAAGUUGCUUGGUCGCGUGAGGGCAUUUGAUCGUCAUUGCAACAUGGUUCUUGAGAACGUCAGGGAGAUGUGGACUGAGGUAUGUGGUGGCAACAACAUCCCACCCGUUAAAUGCACCGUUUCCUUGUCUUGUCUUGUAUUGCUGCGUCCACUAACAUCCAUUCUGCUCGCUACAGGUUCCAAAGACUGGUAAAGGCAAGAAGAAGGCUCUCCCGGUGAACAAGGACAGGUUCAUAAGCAAGAUGUUCCUCCGCGGGGAUUCGGUCAUCAUCGUCCUCAGGAACCCGAAAUGAGUUUGACGACUCGGCGUGAACCAGAAGAGUCUCUUUUCGCUAUGCUGCUGUUAGUUUGUAUGCCGAAUGCUCUGGAUCAGGGAGUGUGUAAGACACAGUUAUCAUGCAAGCAUUGCCUGUACUGAUUAAUGGUUUGGUGCUGUGGUCUGGAUGUUAUGAAUUCACGUCUUUUGUAGUAUCUAAUCUAACAACGUGCACUGGUAGCCUCUGUUCGGAUCAUCAAUAUGUCUGCUGGAGAGAGUUUUCAGUUUCAGAAUGUUUUGUUUGUGUUGCAUUGAGUUUGUGAAUCGGUAGUUGCCCAUUCCGUCGUAUUGUGAUAUGAUAUAUUGAUUGUUCAUAUCAUACUGUAGUGCAAUCCAUUUGCAUGGUACCUUUUGGAUGUCAAAUAUUGAGGGCUCCUUCGGUGCAAUAGAAUUAUACAGGGUCAGUAUCCCCGGGAAUAUUUUCAAUUUUAAUCGUCACCCAGGAGUUAUUUGCAUAUAUUUUGUUGAAGCAUUUUCAUCCACUCAAACUGUGGAGUUCGUUUGCUGUUGUUGCUAUCAAACACUCUUUUGCACAAAUUUCUCUUACAUGAUAUACAGGAGUAAUUCUGUGUUUUACCUUUCUCUAUGAAUAAAAAGAGGGCAUGUGACCCUUUUCCUGCGAAUCAAUGAGGACGUAUAGUCUAAGGAGGAAAAAUGGUCAGUAUUAUUUUCCUUGAUAAUUAUCAAAUCUAAGAUGCACUUCAGUUGUCCUUUUUGGAGAAAGGAAAAGAAAUGAGGCCAUAAAGAACGUGGGCGAAAUAAUGAAGCAGGAAAUCAAUGCACGGAAAUACUAUCUAUAAUCUGAAUACAUGCACUAAAACAUCAAAGGGUCCAUAGCUCAGUGGUAGAGCAAUUGACUGCAGAUCAAUAGGUCACCGGUUCGAACCCGGUUGGGCCCUUCUCUUCAUUAAAUUUUUCCUUUUUUUUGUGAAAUUUGCCACGCUAUUACACCUUAGUUAGUCUAUCAUGUAGGCCCCAAUUCCCAAUGGAUAUACAGGGGAAAAACAUGUGGGUCCCAAUUCCCAAAGGCAGAUGAUGAGACUAAUUAAUGACCAUGCACCGAUGAGAUAAUGGCUUCAUUCAUUCGUUCGUUCAUACAUCUGAUUCAGCAGCUGGCAUGACUGAUAACCUUAACACUAGUACACUGUACCAGCAAAAGAAAGAAAGAAGGAACAAUGCAGAUUAGGUGAGGAACUAGUGAUUGAAUGACUCCUUGCAUCAAGGGAGGAGGAUGUUGGUGCUGACGCUGCAGGAUUUGGAUUUCACACAAGACAUAGCUUAAGAUAAGACAUGAAACGAUGGCUCAUGUCGGUCGUGUGUAAUCAUUCUGCAACUGAAACUAAUGCACUCGCAAACUCAUUGGUGGGUGGUAUCACGUGGGUGAGAGCAAACCACCGAGUAAAACAAAACCGCUUUCAGUCGUGAUUGACGAAAACAAUCAUGUUUUUGAUAAAAGGGGAAGAUUUUAUUGACGCUGCUAACGUUGAAUCGAUCUGAAACGAACAUAAAGAGUUCAUGCCAGUUGCCGGGCAUGUGUUCGUAGGAACAACAGGUAGGUAUGUAUGAACACAAUAUGACAACAAUCAAAUAUCUAGGUCAUUUUCUUUGUAUACCAACAUAGGAAAGCAUAAGCUCGUGGAAUCCAACCAAUGCAAACUUCAUUAGAGUUUGCUUCGGUACACCCUUAAAAAGGUUGUUGCCAUAUUAGCCUGCAGAUCAAACAUAUUUAAUAGAUUCAUUUGGAUACACAAGUCUAUAUUAUCCUUUUUGAUUGAAGGGGUACCUUCUAAUUAAUCUUCACCUUUAAUCUGCAUUGAAAUCUUCAUUAUUCGAAUGGUGAGGAAUUAAAGCGGACUCUUGAAAAUUUAGCUUCAACGUACGUAGUUAAUGAUUGCAUUUAGUCCACUCUAAUGCACAACUUUUAUUCCUUUGGUUGAAUAACAUCCGUGAGAAAUAUGCAUGCACGAAACAUUGUUUUUCUACGUAGCUAAUUAAGUACUUUGAGAAACAAACGUAUCAAAUUACAUAUGAUUCUUUCUUUUAAUGCUGUACAAUACUAACAACAAUAAUAACUGUAUUACUAUGGAGAUCAUGUCAUAUGCAAUGUCGAUUCUAUGGAUCGAAUUAUUGUACCAUAUAAUGGAUUCUAUGUCUGAAAUGUGAGUAUUCAAAAGGAUACUAACAAAAUACAUGCAUUGCAUUUUAUGUAUCUGGUUGGAAUGAACUUUUGACCCGUGACCAUAUAGAACGCGGUCGCCUUUUUUCAUGGUAAGUUGCAGCCGAUUCCCCCUUCCCUUUCCUAGUAUCUUUAGGCAUGUAUGUAGUAUGUACAAGAGAAAUGAAAAACACAUAAAGCCAAUAAAAGCCGGUCUCCUAGUAUUUAACCCAAGAAUUCCCAAAAACAUCGCUAUUAUGCAAAAAAUGUGCAAUUGCACUAUUUAAAAAAUGACCAACUAGUUAAAUAUAUCAAUUGCACAAUUUUAAAAACGGCCAACUAAUUAUAUGCAAAAGAGUGCAGUUACCACCAUUUUUGUGUAAUUUUAAAAAUACCAACUAGUAGUAUACAUACUAAAAAACAAAUACUCCCUCUGUUCCUAAAUAUAAGUCUUGUUAGAGAUUCCAGUACAAACUACAUACAAAUGUAUAUAGACAUACUUUAGAGUGUAGAUUUACUCAUUUUGCUCCGUAUGUAGUCCAUAGUGGAAUACAUAAAAAGACUUAUAUGUAGGAACGGAGGGAUCGAGUAUAUAUUUUGAAUAUAUGUUUUUUUAAUAUCAAAACCCUUCCAAGAGUAAAAUAAAAACACACGUAACAUAGAACAACACUCCACUCUUUUCACAAAAGAAGAAGAAGCAAACAUGCCACAUUUCCCCACUAUCAAUCGUUGAAUUAAGGAUCGUUAAUUAAUCAUCACAAAAUAAGAUAGUCAAUUUCGACUAAUUCCCAAAAGAGGGUCCAUAGCUCAGUGGUAGAGCAAUUGACUGCAGAUCAAUAGGUCACCGGUUCGAACCCGGUUGGGUCCUUACUUUCUACUCUUUUUCGUGUUCCUUCUUUUUGUUAAGUUUGCCACGGCAUCAGCCUACCAUUUUUAUACUACAUGGUAAGAUAAGAAGAAAUAACAUCAUUUCACAGAACAAGUGGGUCCGAAUUCCCAAUGGAGUAGGAGAUAACGUUCAUGGAGCAAGUAGUUUUGCCAACACAAAACAAAAGGAGAUAACCGGCCCAGGACACCUGAAAUCAAUGGAGCUAAGCAAGGGAAAUGAGUGAGAUAAUGACCAUGCAUCUGAUGGAUGAGCAUGAAUGAGAACCUUAACAGUAGACUGUACACCCAGCAAAAGAAAGAAAGAAGGAAAGAGCCAGAUUAGGUGAAGAAGUAGUGACUGACUUCUUGUAGGACUUGGGGAGGAUGUUGGUGCUGACGCAGGCUCCACAAGUCGCAGGGUGAAGAAGAUUUGUAGCUCAAGACAUCACUGAUGGCUCAUGUCGAUCAUGUGUAAGUGUAAUCAUUCUGCAACUGAAACUGAUGCACUCCCACAUGGUUGGGUGGUAUCACGUGGGUAAGAGUACAAACGAUCGAGUACAACGAAACUGAUUUCAGUCGCAAUCGACGAAAACGAUCAGAUUUUCGAUAAAUGGGAGAUGAUAUAUCGACUCUCUUAACGUCAGAUCGCGAGGCGAAACAAACAUAAAGAGUUCAUACACACUGAUGCCUGUUAUAUAUUGGGAAAGAAAACUGCAUUCAAAUACCCAAGUCAUUUUUCUUCCUUUAUUUAGUACUAAUUGUAUUAGUUUCAGGUUUUGAUACUGGGAAACGGUGAGACCCUCUUAUUGCUUAAUAUACUUUCCCCGCUACCUGAAGAACUCCGGACUCGAUGAACUUAUCCAUGUGUAGAAACGGCGAAAGGCGAUCAUCCUCCUACGUACGAUCCUUUUUUUUUAAAUGAGGCAAAAGACUUGCCAUUUUCAUUGAUUAAGAAGGAGUGAGAAUUGCCCGGUUAAUUGACGGAAAACCGAGCUAAAACCGAUACAAUCCAACCCAUAUAACAUGGGUACCACCGGCCAACCUGGCCACCGACAUGGGAUCACAGAGCUACAACAGCUGCACCAAAACCAUGACGGCACAUGCCAACAGAAGGCCACACGCGCGAACAACUGACAGCUCCGACUCUGACGACGAUCAUCACAAGGGAAUAUGCAGGACUUGCGCCGACCGUGCCCGAACGGGCACCUCGGACACGCCGGGAAGAUCCGACUACCGAAGCCCGAGCCGCGACCCAAGCUCCUCUCGACGCCAUCAUCGUUGCCAAACAGAAAUCAGCGCCCCGAAAUGGCCGCCUCAGCAAACUACACGGCGAAGAUGCCGCAAACCACGCGGCAAAGAUGCCGCAACCCACGCGGCGAAGAUGCCGCCAUCCACUGGUCUCCAGGUUGUGGCCGGCUCCGAGAUGAUGCCCCCAAGGAGGAAGAAGACGUGAAGGCGUCUUCAUUGCCCGAUCUCGAAGAUCUGAGGUUUCCCUCCGGAGCCAAGGCCGCGGGAAGGGGGGAGGAGCAGCACACAACAACAACGCUUCCAAGAAAGAGCACGACGCCCACGGGCGUCGUCGUCGCCAGAUCCGGCAGAGGCCGGACAUAGGAUUUCUCCCGGGGAUGCUCAACCACCACCUGCCCGCAUCAACGCAGCCAACGAACCCCAUCCUGCCGAGGCCGACCUCGAACUGGCCGUGGGAUCCCGAGACCCACCACGCCCAGAUGCGCGCACCCCCCCCCCACCCGAAGCCGCUUCCACCAAAUCCGGGGCCGCCGCCCCGGCAGCCGCCACCACGCCGGGCUAGCAAACUGGCCAGCUCCUUAGCACCAAGCCGGGAGGGGGGGCCGCCACCCCGCCCCAACCUGCCGAGCAGGGCUGUUGGGCCGAAGCCGGAGCAACCCACUGCAGCCGCNNNNNNNNNNNNNNNNNNNNNNNNNNNNNNNNNNNNNNNNNNNNNNNNNNNNNNNNNNNNNNNNNNNNNNNNNNNNNNNNNNNNNNNNNNNNNNNNNNNNNNNNNNNNNNNNNNNNNNNNNNNNNNNNNNNNNNNNNNNNNNNNNNNNNNNNNNNNNNNNNNNNNNNNNNNNNNNNNNNNNNNNNNNNNNNNNNNNNNNNNNNNNNNNNNNNNNNNNNNNNNNNNNNNNNNNNNNNNNNNNNNNNNNNNNNNNNNNNNNCACCUGGCCGUGCCCGCCUGCGCACCGCUCGCCGCCACCCCGCGCUGCCUCGCCGCGCCGCCCCGAGCGCCAGCGCGCCCGAGCUCCCUCUGGAGCGACCGACCCGCGCCGCACCAUCUCGAGCGGGAGGAGGAAAAAGGAACCCCGCCGCCGCCGAGCCGCGCGGGCUUCGCCCGGCGACUCCUGCCGGCGGCGGCGAGGGGAGGGGGGCGGCGGGGUGUGGCUAGUGGCGGCGGCGGCUAGGGUUCGCUCCUGGCCGCCCGCGGGAGCGACCGAGGAGCGACCGAGGAAGUGCUCCUUUCUAUAUCGUCUCUAGCUACUUUUUUGUUUUGUUUCGAGACAGACAAUGCAAGCAAGGGCUAAAGACAGACAGGGAGCCAAGCUGCCAACAUCUGCAUGCAUGCAGCCAAAUCGAUCGGGAGGUGCAAAACUAAAGGCACCGUGAAAUCUGACGCUGCGUGCACUUACGGCAAUACUACAUGUUAAGUCAUCGAUGGGACAACACUAGCUAGUACACACGAAUUUUCAGAACCUAGCAUAUAUAGGUUAUCUAUAUCGAUUGAUGUAGCCCGUCAGGUUAAAAGCGUGGGUCAGACAGAAAUACAGAAUGUAUACUAGUAGCUAGCUAGGCUUUAAUCAGAAAUGACUGUAAUUAAGAAAGAUGGGCACUGAGAAUAAGUUUUGUGAAUCGAUCUCUCUUUCUUGUCUGUCCAAAGGCCAUUAGUGUGGAUUUGGGCCACGUGUAGACAGUACGUUGGAUCGAUCGAUAUACAUAUAUAUAUAUAUGCUAGCUAGCUAGCUGCUAAUCCCCACGGGAGCGAUCGGAGGCUGUGAUCGUCCGACAUGUUCAGUCGCCGGCCGGUCGAGCUUGCAUAUGCCUAGCACUAGUACCAGACAGAUAACUACUGCAAGUUGGACGCAUUUGCUAGCUCACUAGCUGACCCCUUUUUCUCUGGAGAUUAAUUAGUAAGUAGAAGCAUUUCUUCUCCUUCCCAACUGUCUGUCUGAAACUCUCUGUACACAACCAUUCUUUUUUUUUUAAACACAGUACAGACGCAAGUGCUCAUAUACACGCGCAUACACUCACCCCUAUGAACGCACACCCUACCCCUAUGAGCACCUCCGAAAGACUGAGCGGGAACGUCUCCUCCCACUGAAUGCGCAUCGCCGGAAAUCCUGAAAUAAAUUUAGGAAUAAAUGCGAGCAUCGACGGGAACGUCUCCUCCCACUGAAUGCGCAUCGCCGGAAAUUCUGAAAUAAAUUCAGGAAUAAAUGCGAGCACCAGGACUUGAACCUUGGUGGGCUGGGGAUACCACAGUUCCUCUAACCAUCCAACCACAGGUUGGCAUACACAACCAUUCUUAGCUGAUCGUGCAUGUAGAUUUCCUAACUCCUUGCUUGUGCUAUUUACCAAUUGCAUACAUGCUAUUUUCCAAAUUUUACAGGCCCCAGACCACUAAAAUCUGGACCCUAGCCCGAUAAAAUCUUGAAAUCUCAGAGGCUCAUUUGACUUGAAUGAUUCUAUGUGUACAAAUUUUGACCCCACAUUGCAAGUGGGCCAAGAAAAUACCAAUGUAUAAAACAUAUGUGCUCUAAUCCUUAUUUUGCUCAGAAAAAAAGGUGCUCUAAUCCUUAUAGCACAAGCAAAGAGAGCAAGAGCGCACACACGCUCACCUGACUCACCCUACCAAACACGUGUCGCGUAAAUCGAGUUUGAGCCAGUGGUACUCUACCUGUUAGAAGAGUUAACAUUUGAUUGCUAGUGUAAAUCUCUAGGUAUAUGCGUCAAUAUAUGCUCCAACCUGUUGAUGAAACUUUCCUUGCGAAAGGAUACAUAAGGGAGAGCUUAUGUAGAGGAAGGGGCAUGGUUGUAUAUGGCAGGGCAUACCUCUCAAACCGCGCCUCUUGAGAACCUGCAUCUGUGAGAAGAGAAGACUUUGCAACCAACCCAUAUGGUUCAUAUGCGAAAAUGCUAGACGCAACUAGUUACUAGUCCGUCAUAUGUGCUAUGCUGUAGUACACUCAUCGUGUUACGACUAGUUUGAAUACAUGAUCGAGGAGGACAAAUCAAAUCACGCUCCCUUCGUCUAGAUACAUCCAUUUGAGCGACAACUAAUUCCGGACCGAGAAAAUAGUAGUUUGAAUACGCAGUCGAGGAGGACAAAUCAGAUCAUGCGUUUGUGUCCACAAUAGUAAUUAACUAACCACUUGAGGUAAUUAGUAGCCGCCUUAAGAACUACUAAAUGUAGAUAUUUCAUGCAUGUCGAUCGUUAGCUAGAUAGUGGGCUGGGAGAUCCAUCCCACUUGGCGUGCUCCUUGCAGGGCAACAUGCAUGCACGUAUGGUGUGUGGUGUGUGAUAUUUCCGGUUCCAGCAAGUUGAGCCAGCUUUUCCCCUUAAUUGGCAAUUUGGUGAUUAGGUUCCCUAAUUUAUAUGCUCACUACCUAGACCACUUGGGAAGCAGUGGAGCUAAUCAAUCAAUUGAACAAUUAAACAGUGGUUGAACUUUUUAACCUCAUACUGCACUUAGCUAGAGUAUUGUGGAUCUUCCUACAUAUGUUCAGCCACUGUUUAUUAACGGAUAUGAUCAGUGAUUGAGCUUUGCAAAAGCACUACGUACUUAGUUAAGGAACUCGUUGAAAAGGGGAGCUUAUUUAAGAAAUUAGUACCAAACAAAAGUAUGCCACAAACAAAUUAAAAGAUCCACCAUGAGAUUUAGGUUUCUUUUGUUGUCUUGGCCGCCUCGUGGGAGUGCAACCGUGCAUGCAUGCUCACACUUUGCAGAGAUCUUUUCGAUUUCUUGGUGCACCAUAAAUAUGAAAGUAAUAAUAAAUCUUGUUCUAAACUCCCUCCUUCUAGAUGUUUAUGCCACACCAAAGUAAAAAAAAAAACCUCUAUAGCAAGGGAGCACGGAUCUUGAUGCAAAGCUGAAUGGCCUAGAUAGAAGGAUGCGCCACUCUCGUCGGUUAAGCAGGCCCCUUUCGUUCCGAAAGGCGAUAAAAACCCUAGAGUUUGACAUGUGGAAGAGAUGUGACAUGUGGAGUAGUAUUCUUUUGUGUCAUCCAUGGUUGCUUGCAUCAUGGCAGCACACACUUGGAUCGUGCCGUACACAUAUAUGCCACGCCCCACCACGAAAUGUUCCACGACGGAUGCCAGACCGACACAUCAUCCUAUUUAAUCAUAUCGCGUUAGCUCUCUCGUGCGUCUAAUGCUGGCUAGGGCCAAUCGCGUGGGAGUACCGGCUGCGCCCCCUUCUAAUCAAUCGCACGGUUAACUUAAUUAUACUAGUUAAAAGAUUAAUCAACAUGUUGAUGAAAGGCUGAAGCUGACACUUGCCUAAAGUGCAUAUAAUGAAAGAGAGCAGUCGACUAGAGCCUUAUUAACAUCUGUACUUUAGCUAGCAGCUAGCUCUGAAAGUGGCAGUGUGGGUUGAUUAGUCAUACUCCCUUCGUUGCAAAUUACUCCCGCCGUAAAGAAAUAUAAUAGGGAUCGAGUAAUUAAAGUCGUAGUUUUGUGAUUUUGUCCUAAGUCAAGCUUUUUUAUGUUUGAUCGAGUUUGUAGAAAACUGUGCUAAUAUCGACAAUAUCAAGUUAAAACCCGCAAAAAAAGACAAUAUCAAGUUGGUUUCAUUAGGCUCGUCAUGAUCUCGAUAUAUUUUCAUUACUCCCUCCGUUUCAUAAUGUAGUGCAUAUAGAUUUUUAAAAAAGUCAAACUUCACAAACUUUGACCAAGUUUGUAGAGAAAAACAUCUACAUCUAGAAUGCCAAACAUAUAUCAUUAGAUUCAUCAUAAGACUAGUUUCAUAUUUAUACAUUUGAUAUUGUAGAUAUAAAUAAUUUUCUCCGUAAACUUGGUCAAAGUUUGACUUAAAAAAAAACUAUACGCAUUACAUUAUAGAACGAAGGUAGUACUAUAUGCAUUUGAUGUUGUAGAUAUUAGCAUAUUUUUUCUACACACUUGGUCAAAAUUAAGGGCAUCUUUGAUUCACAGGAUUUGGAAAAACGCAGAAUUAAAGAAAAAUCAUAGGAUUAAAUGACGUCAUGCCCUUUUGAAUCCUACAUGAUUUUGACUUGUUUCAUUGCACCAGGAAAAAAAUCGAAAAAAUUCUUUUCAAGAGUUUUGAGUGCAUGCUAACAUUCCUAUCAAAGGAAAUCUUAGAUUUUUUUUUUCUAUAAAUGGUUCAAUCGCGUGAAUGAACAACCAACAUAGAAAAAAAAAUUCAUAAGGAUGCCAAAUUCAAAAUUUCUAGGAAAAAUCCUUCAAGUCGAACAGGCCUUGAACAGUCGAACUUAAGACAAAGCUAGAAGUUCCAAGUAACAUAUACGGGGCUCAACUGCUCCAUCUGUCAGCUGGUUUAGCUUGAGGCUCGAACGAUGGCCUAACUAUCCAGCUAAUCAGCGUCAGCGCACGAUUAGCACCGACGAGCACGCGCUAAUCACUGGUGCCUGACCGUGAGUCGUUAAUCCCCCCGUCCUAAUCGUGCCAGACCAGCUGGAAAAUCAUCAGGCAGUAACUAAUAUACUAGUGGUACAUAUGUGGUUUUGUGGAGACGAGAUGGAUCGGGGGUUUGUCGAUCAGUCUUUUUGACGAUGUGAGCAAAGUGCACUACCUUGACACCUUUUGGAAGCACACUCCAUAUAGUGUUCGGAGAUUGAGCGUCGGCAGCUCCGUGGAGACUGAAGGCUCAGGCUGCCUACCUUUGCCCAAUGUCAAGGGUUGAUCUAUCUGACAACACCCUUUUUUGACAGAAUUGAUCGGCGAUAUCUGAUAGGCUUUUAGCCAAAUCAUUUCGAAGAUUUCUUAGUUUAUCAUCAGGAUGCAUGUGAGUGCCUGCAUCUUUAUCGCGUUUUCUGAAUGAGUGACCUAGCUAUGAACAACCGCAGACAAUGAGGAUGCAUUUGGAUGCUCGAUGAGUAAUGAGCAUCAUGAUGCUUUAGUGGGUCGCCGCGGCGCCCCUACCUCGGUGGCGGGCGGCGACAAGCAAGCGAGAGGGAAAUGGCAUGAUCAAGAGGACCGGGUGAAGGGGGUGACCGCGAGGAGNNNNNNNNNNNNNNNNNNNNNNNNNNNNNNNNNNNNNNNNNNNNNNNNNNNNNNNNNNNNNNNNNNNNNNNNNNNNNNNNNNNNNNNNNNNNNNNNNNNNNNNNNNNNNNNNNNNNNNNNNNNNNNNNNNNNNNNNNNNNNNNNNNNNNNNNNNNNNNNNNNNNNNNNNNNNNNNNNNNNNNNNNNNNNNNNNNNNNNNNNNNNNNNNNNNNNNNNNNNNNNNNNNNNNNNNNNNNNNNNNNNNNNNNNNNNNNNNNNNNNNNNNNNNNNNNNNNNNNNNNNNNNNNNNNNNNNNNNNNNNNNNNNNNNNNNNNNNNNNNNNNNNNNNNNNNNNNNNNNNNNNNNNNNNNNNNNNNNNNNNNNNNNNNNNNNNNNNNNNNNNNNNNNNNNNNNNNNNNNNNNNNNNNNNNNNNNNNNNNNNNNNNNNNNNNNNNNNNNNNNNNNNNNNNNNNNNNNNNNNNNNNNNNNNNNNNNNNNNNNNNNNNNNNNNNNNNNNNNNNNNNNNNNNNNNNNNNNNNGUCCAAGUGCAAACAUACAUUGGUUGGUGAUACGUACGUUGUCCAAGUUCAUCAUAUGUAUGCAUUUUCUUACACCUAGCCAGGAGUAGUAGAUAGUUUUGGGCCAAUAAUAUCCCAGUGCAGACGUACAUUGGGCGGCGACGGCGUGAGCGGCGCCUUUAGUUUACAUUACCCUUUUCAUCUCACGCCAUUUGACUCUUAGCCCCUUGGCCCCUUGCGCCCUACCCUGCUAGCGACAGUGGAGUGCCGCUCCAACCCUCCAUGACCUCACCACCCCGCCAAGCCCUACAUAUACUACCCCCGAUCCACGAGCGUCCUCCUCAGUACAACCCAGCCCAGCCACCACCACCGCUGCAUGCAGGCGAGGCCUAGCUAGCUAGUGUCACUAACCAAGCAGAGCACUAACCAGUCUCACACCGGCGGCCAGCCAUGGCGCUCGCGUCCCUCCCCAAGGUGGUGCUCGGCUCCUUCGCCUUCGCCAUCUUCUGGAUGAUGGCCGUGUUCCCGUCGGUGCCCUUCCUGCCCAUCGGCCGGACGGCGGGCUCGCUGCUCUCCGCCGUGCUCAUGAUCGUCUUCCACGUGAUCAGCCCCGACGACGCCUACGCCUCCAUCGACCUCCCCAUCCUCGGCCUGCUCUUCUCCACCAUGGUCGUCGGCGGCUACCUCAAGAACGCCGGCAUGUUCAAGCACCUCGGCACGCUCCUCGCCUGGAAGAGCCAGGGCGGCCGCGACCUGCUCUGCCGCGUCUGCGUCGUCACGGCGCUCGCCUCGGCGCUCUUCACCAACGACACCUGCUGCGUCGUGCUCACCGAGUUCGUGCUCGAGCUCGCCGCCGAGCGGAACCUCCCGGCCAAGCCCUUCCUCCUCGCCCUCGCCUCCAGCGCCAACAUCGGCUCCAGCGCCACCCCCAUCGGCAACCCGCAGAACCUGGUCAUCGCCUUCAACAGCAAGAUCUCCUUCCCCAGGUUCCUCAUCGGCAUCCUGCCGGCCAUGCUCGCCGGCAUGGCCGUCAACAUGGUCAUGCUGCUCUGCAUGUACUGGAAGGACCUGGAGGGCGUGGCCCCCGACGCGGCCGGCAAGCAGAUGUCGGUCGUCGAGGAGGGCGGCCGCUCGCCGUCCGUGGCGUCGCUCAAGAGCCCGCACCCGUUCAACGGCACCACCGCCGACGACGGGAACGAGUCGAUGAUGGAGGAGAACAUCUCGACCAAGCACCCGUGGUUCAUGCAGUGCACGGAGCACCGGCGCAAGCUGUUCCUCAAGAGCUUUGCCUACAUCGUGACGCUGGGCAUGGUGGUGGCAUACAUGGCCGGGCUCAACAUGUCGUGGACGGCCAUCACCACCGCCAUCGCGCUCGUCGUCGUCGACUUCCGGGACGCCGAGCCUUGCCUCGUCAAGGUCUCCUACUCGCUGCUCGUCUUCUUCUCCGGCAUGUUCAUCACGGUGAGUGGGUUCAACAAGACGGGGCUGCCGGGCGCCAUCUGGAACUUCAUGGCGCCCUACUCCAAGGUGGACAGCGCCGGCGGCAUCUCCGUGCUCUCCGUCAUCAUCCUCCUCCUCUCCAACCUCGCCUCCAACGUACCAACAGGUUGUUACACAUGCAUGCAUGGAUUUUGUGCAGUACAACACUAUGAAAAUAUAUUGAUCUAAAAAGGGUGACACUGUGACAAGACAAAGCACUCAAAACAGUGGAAAAUAUCGAUCAAUUUCUGCACAUUCCAAACUAAUCAAAGUAAUAGUUAAUUAUGUUGGUGCGGCUGCAGUUAGCACACGCAGGCAUGCAUGGUGCAUGGUUUUUCUUUUCGAAUACAGCGGACCCAAAUUGCUAUCUAGUCAUCACUCACUCACUCAGUAGACUCUAGCUAGCUUAAAUAGUUAAUUUGGUGUUACUUGUGAUAAGUGACCAGUGGCCAGCAUCAAAAGACACACAAAUCUAGUAAUUCUAAGAAGAAUAUUUUUAUCUUCAGUCACUUCAAUACUCUAACUAUAUCACUACUAAUCUUAUACUCCCUCCGUCCCAAAAUAAGUGUCUCGAAGUAGAUAUGUAAAUUGUCCCCCUUCCCCAAAGCUUCGGCGGUGUAAGUGACGGUCCUGUGUUUUUGGUAUGUGCAGUGCUACUGAUGGGGAACGAGGUGGCGACCGCGGCGGCUCUGAUCUCCCUGGCGGCGGUGACUCGGUCGUGGCUGCUGUUGGCGUGGGUGAGCACGGUGGCGGGCAACCUGUCGCUGCUGGGGUCGGCGGCGAACCUGAUCGUGUGCGAGCAGGCGCGCCGGGCGCCGCGCAACGCCUACGAGCUCACCUUCUGGAACCACCUCAUCUUCGGCGUGCCCUCCACCCUCAUCGUCACCGCCGUCGGCAUCCCCCUCAUCGGAAAGAUGUAGCCACCCUAUCCAUCUACCAACAUCGCCCUCGCCACCGCCGACGGUCCAACUAUAUGCAAUAUACACUUUCCUUAUAUAUACCAGCAGCCUGUACAUACGUAUGUGCAUACACAAGCGUAUAUACGGGCACUUUGUACGUACGUACGUAUAGGUCAUAGCCUCCGCUUUCGUAUGUGUGUUAAUUGCUGUGUGCGUUGUUGAUUAAUUAGUAUAUGUAUGUAUGUAUGGUGAGAAGAGAAGGAGAGGGAGAUGAUUAUCACGCACGGUGUGCUAAUUAAUUAAGCAGUGCACUGUGGACUGUACUGGUGAUUAAUCUGCAUGGAUGAAUGAAUUUGGUUCAUCAGAUCAGAGAACACAUAUGUAUAUAUGCAAGUGCAACACAUGUGGUUGCAUGCAUUAUGCAUAUAUAUAUAUGCCAAGAUGUAAGGGAAUUUAAGUAAUGUUAUCUUGUCAUCUUGUGUGUGUGUAUGUGGCAGGUGGUACUUGAAGAAAAAAGAAAAGAAAUCUCUUGUUGGUUCCUCUCCUAAUUGUUAAUCACUACAUAAUACGAGCAUAAAAAUUUCAUAAGCUUGUUUGCUACUACUAAAAUAUACCAAAGUAUUGUUAGGCAGCUGUUGGGGGCUCCCAGAGACAGGGAAUCAGGUCCUCUGUCUCUUUGUUAUAAGAAUGGUGACAAGCAAGCGUCUCUUUCCAAAUGGCAAAUCUCACUGCCUUUAGUUUUGUACUAGUAUAAGAGGCAAUCAUAGUAUCUAAGACCUGCUCUACUGGCAUAGUAUAAUAAAUUAACCUCAUGCUGUUUGUCUUGCUACCAAGAUAGCAGCUACCCAACAGAAUAUACUCAUGCACUACAUAUGAAGAGGGUAUUCCCAUCUUGCAAACAAAAGCAAUUAUUCAGCAUCAAGUUUUUUAUUAUUAUUCCAGUGAUCAAAGGUUGGGACACAGAGGGGUGGUGAAUGCACAGAAGAGUUUUUGCCUUCAAGUCUCAUUUAUGCUGCUAAUAUCCCGGUGAUUACAUAUGUAGCAUGUCUGCCAUGUACUUGUGGAUCAAGCCUCUCCUCACAGUUGAAGCUAAAUAGAGUAAUUAUGAGUGAAAUAAUGCACGUUUACGCAAGUGUUGAUGAUGGUCAGUUGGAAUUAGCAAGGAUCUGUUCUCCAAAAGAUGAUCAUCUCCCCUUUGUAGAAAAAAAUAACGGUGGCAAGAUUUUAAACCUUGAAUCCCCAAAACCCAAAGUUACGCGUCCUAAACGGGGCUUCAGGUUAAGAACAACACAGAAGAAUCUUCAAACAGAACUAUAGUUUGUUCAGACCCUCAAAUUCAUGAGCUGGAAUUUGAUGCCUAGUAAUGUAUAGAAUAUUUGGCGCAAGCGUAUACAGUCGGUGAUUGACAAAUCUUGUAAGAUUGAGUCUUAAGUAUAUAUAUGCUCUAGUGUCAACACUUAAUAUUCAAAAGUCUUAUCUUUUUUCCCCAUUACGCAUUUCAAAGGAAAAUGUGCGGAAUACGCAAGAGUAUAUUCUCCUCACUGGCAUUAAUUAAUCCAAGGGAAAAAGGGUCAACAAAAGCUACAUUUAAUUAACGGCCUCUCUCUGCAGGAAAUGGCCAACCAAUCCUUAGAUAGUUCCUGCUAUAUAACUUCAUAUCUUGCUAACCACCCCUCUUCUAUAAUUCACAGGGUGAUGCGAGGCUCGCCUGCUCCAAUGCCCAUCUGACAACACAUUUUUAAAAUUGGUGGAAUACUUUUAAGGAUGACGCAACCUUCCUAUAGUGCAAUGGACUUCCUGUGCAUCUGACAACACAUUCUCCACUUCAUAAAUAUAAAUAUCUACAUCAUAGUUUAAAAUUGAAAUGGCAUUUCAAGAGUGAUGCACGCAGGCAUGCCACUACGAUACUAGCGUUGCGCAUCCGACAACACAUUUUUCGGUACUGUAUAAAUAUCUGCAAUAUAGCAAAUAUUUUCUAAGAAUGACGCUGGGAACUCACCUGCCAACAACCACCAUCACACAUGCCAACUGCACCACCAUAUAACUAUUGCUGAGGCAGGCGCCAAUUGGGCAUAUGCAAAUGCAGGCUUGGAGAGUCUCCCCAGUGACCAUGGCCACGCAUGACCUGCACAAGUGUCACUGCGAUAACCAAAUUAACUCAUAAUGUGGUAAGAUAUGAUAUCUUUGCGCAUCACUUGGAAACGUAGAAAGUAUCUACGAAGGACUCCUGAAGUUGUUGCAUCGCAGUCGUAAUAGUCGAUACAUUACGCAGUUACUUGAAUGACAGGACGCCAUCUCCGCCUUCAUCGCCGACCUUCGAUCGAUGGCCGUCCGCCUGUCGCCGCCGCCCCCGCCGCCUCCUCCAGAGCCUGAUUAGAUGUUUGCCGUCCCCGAGGCGCUGGCCCCGGCUGCGCCUCUUGUGUUCUCUUGUGUGUGUUGUGUUGGGCUUGUUGAGCUGUGCCCUCAGCAGUACCUUUGGACCUCUUGUUGUGUGCGUGGAUGUGUGUGCUCUGUACUAGACCAUGUAUGUGUGCUCUUGGCGGUUUGCUUUAUUUAUAAAGCGGGGCGAAAGCCUUUUUCGGUAAAAAUAUCAAUUUACAGGAUGGAAAUAUAUAUUUACCAUAUUCAAGGGUUUUUACAGGACACAGCCUGCAUUGAUUCUUUCUACACUGUCUUGAUGACAGACCAAUCAAAAAGAGAAAGUAUGCUUAUUAGUACAAUUUUGAUAUAUCUACAAAUCUUUACACUUGAAGAUGACCUUUUCAGCGUAGUACCUUCAGUAAAGAGACAUGUUGGCGAUGAACCCUUUUCAGCUAGCUGACAUCAUGGUACAGGACAAAUAAUAAGACAUCAGAAGGGGUUAGAAUCCAUAAAUUGAUUUUAAGGAAAACAUAAUUUAAAAAUAUAAAAACAACAUCUAAAGUGAAGCAUAAAAUAAAAAUGAAAUGCACUUUUGUACCAUAUUGUGAAACCGGAAUUGUGUUUUCUGAAUAAAGAGGGACCAAUGAAUAACUAUGCAAUCGAGAUAUAUUUACUUGAGGCAUUUACAGGUUAUACAGUGCGAAAUGACCACCUACAAAAAUAUUUCCUAUACUUGAGGCAUCUAAGCAGAGAGUGGCUGCUGCAGCCUGACAUCAAGUAUUACAUACAGUGACCAGAACAAAGCCAUACGCAUGAUGGCUGAAUGUAUGCAUACUGUCAACAACAUCUCAGUAGUCAUGUUUGCACGGCUCCAUGAGUGACCUGCGGAAGAGCAGAAGAUUAAUUACUGUUGCAACAGAGGGUUUAAGGAAAGAAAAUCAAGUAAUUCCAUGUCUUAAUCUAGCAGUCUCCUUACAAAUUAUAACAGGGGUCAUGAGCACCACAAAGUUAUACAGCCAUAUCAAUCCUGCUCUGAGGCAACCAACACCCUUUGGUAGUGCCAAAUCAAAAUCACCAUAUACGGCUUUAUGGGUUGCCACCUGACAGAAAACAGUUGAUAUAAUGAGUACUGAGAAGAAAAAUGCCUAGCACUAAGAAACUUUACCAUCUCUAACAAUACGAUCUUCAUAGGAUGAAUACAAAUCUGUUUUCUUUUCUUUCAGGGGGUGGGGGACUGAUAGGAGGAAAGAAUGGCAUGAGGAGCCUACUUGAACAAUUCCUUAAUCGCAGAAGAUUUAUUCCAUACAAUGGCUUAACUCUAAACAUGGUCAAUUGUUAGUCAACCAUUCCUUGCCAGACACAUUGAUCCUGUGCCAAAUUAUCAUGCUAACAAGAACGCCGAAGUUUGAUGAAAUCAUCAUGCAACUGAUUGAAUGGUCUCAGAAAACAUAGACAUAAGAGGAAAUGAGCUCACCAUCUGAGUAAAAAUAGAAGUACAUGCUGCAACAGGUCCAGGACAUCUGAUAAGGUAGCAAUCGUCAAAAUGAACAAACAGUACAACAGUCUGAUUCACUAUGCUCAUCUGAAGGAACAAAGCAGCUUUAAUUUCUUCAUUGGAGCCCAUCAGCGAUCUACCUUCAAAUUUAUACUGCCCAUGUACUAAAACAUCAGCUAACAGCUCCAAAACCAAAAUAAUGUGUAUAAACCGGAAGAAAAAAAGCUCACUGAAAAGAAGCCUGUAAGUGUUGCCGCUCUGAAAAAAAUGGCUGUUCUCAGAAUGAUGUAGCUACCAGAAGCAACACCGUUUGCAAUGAUUUUCUUAACUCUCCAUCUAUGUGGUGAAUUACUCGGUUCCACCCUUUCAAAUAAUAUUGCAAAGGUCAAGUAAAAAGGACAAUAACAAUUGAACACUGAAAUGGAGAUACAAAUAAUACAGUCCCACCGAUCCAUAAUGCAAGUAUUUUUAGCAUUUUCAACUUUAACCGAACUGUAGAUCCUACUAAGAUCACACUGAUCUGUUUCUCAUGUUGUUCCUAUUUUGCUCCUCAUUCAUUUCAUCAAGAAUUGAGCCUGUAAUUCAGGAAAUUAUGGUAGUUGGGAGGAAAGAAAGAAAGUUGUAGAAAUAACUGAAGGGUAGUAUUGGCAUUGCACAUACACCCUUAAUCCUGUGGUGAAGUCUAAAAGGACCUAUAUUUUGGAUUGGAGGGAGUAUAAUGUAGAGUAAGGUUGUGGACGUUUUGCAGUUGAAACUCACAAUAGCUAAAAGUGGCAAUCACCAAAGCCAGGAAACUUGACAAGUUAAAGCUCCACAAGAGUAAAAUGACAUGGACACCAACCUUCAAUAAAAUUAAUGAUCCAUGUUAGCAUUGCACAAUACAGUCAAUUAUAAAAACUAUUAACACAAUAUAUAGUCAUAAUUGUACUCACAAGAUGGACAGUUGAUGACACAGUGUAGAUCUGCAACAAAAGCAACAUAUUGCGAGUGAUCAGCCAUCUAUCAUGAUUUAGACAACAAAUACCAUGUGAGCAACCAAACCUUUAAAUACAUUCAAGUGACAUACCGUAUAACCCCUCAUAACCUGACAGAUCUCCCUACUGAUUUGCACAGCUGAUGAAAUAGGUAACAGGGAAGGCUGAUCAAAACAAGAUCAGAUUCACUUUUGGUGUAAUCAGUGGCCUCAGCUACUGAAAUUCCAAUAUAGCUUUCACCAAUGGCAUCAUGAUCAAGAAAUUCAUACCCAACCAUUGCACAAAGACAUCCGAAAUCUCUUAGCCUUCUCACUAUAUCACUGUUAUCCUCUGCACUAAUAAAUCAAGAUAGCAAAAUCAUAAGACUAGUUCCUUUGUGCCUUCCACACAUCAAAGCCUAAGCGUUAUUAAAAAUGUGUGCUGUAACUUUCUUGAGAGGAUAGAAGUACUACUCAAACUGUCAACAUAAACAGAAACUUCUUCCAAAGAUACAAAGGAAAUGUGAAAAAAGGACAUCGCUCCAAAGAUAAGAACAGACCUGGCAAGAGAUCGGAAAUCCCAUUGAUGUUUAAGUGAGCUUCUCUGUUAUUAUGAGGUAACUCCAACACCGAGUGGGCAGGUAACACAUUGAUGCCUAGUUUUCCAAGCUUUCCACAUACUUGCUUUGUACAACACCGAGUAGUCAACAAUGGGCUUUCUGAGAGAGAAAAUGAACUGUUUGCUGAAGAACUAUGUAUUACAGGAAAUGACAAUAGCUGAAACAAGACAGCUGAACGGUUGAAUAACCUGUGAGGAUUCUAAUAUCCAAACCGAAAUUGAUAAGACUAUCAAUAGCAUCUACGCUAUCACUUCUAAGGUCAUCUCUGAAAGGUAGAAGACCAAUGAACUCCCAGCAUGAGUCUACCUGGAGGAAAAUAAUAGAAAUUAAAUGAAACAUGCAAUAAAUUUGGGCAUUGCAGAGUUCUAAUGUGAAAUUCAGUUGCGCACCUGGUGUCCUACAGCUAUGGCUUGAUACCAUCAAGAGCAAAACUAUCCAUUACCAUGCUUAUUUUCUCUUUGACUGCUUUGUUGCAGCCACAUUGAUGAGCCACCUAUAGCAUGAAAACAAAAGAUGACCAAGGAAUGAGCCUGUACUAACCAAAACAAAAGGUGCAAAUGCGUGCAUGGUGAUGGUAGUGGGGCUUUGCUUAUCUCUAUGCGUUUUUGACACUGUGGCUUGCCUUCGCAGGAUCACCUUUGAAUACGCAGCACUUGGAUCCAUUGCUAUCGAUGUAUGUAGUUAGGAACAUCAACUUCAGUGCAAAAAAGAAGCGGGCAUGGUGCUCUAAGACCUCAAUACCAGCUCUUGCCUACAUUAUCAGUAUGCUUGUUAAGUUUACCAAACAUUAAUACACAUAGGCGUUAAAAGACAACUUAGUGAGAGAAAAGGAACCUGUUCUGGAUCAUCCAAGAGGCUCAGAAUAGCUGCAUCAAUUGACUCUAUACAGAAUUCAUGUUGAGAUCUUGAUGCUCGUGCAGCUAAUAUAAUAGCUUGAUCUUUGUCAACACUGUUAGCAAACAGCUCAAUCUUGUCCCGGAAAAAACAUGGCUUAUUACACGUUAUAGUACCAGUCAAGUUGAAGAGCAUCACAUCCGUACUGGCCAGAUCUUCAAGGGCAACUGUUCCGCGGCUAGCAAUUCUCAGAAAACAAAGCCUUAGAGAUCCCAAUGCUGAUGCCAGGUAGAGGACAACAGGCAUUGCCAUUGGAAUCUCACCAAUCAAUGGCAUAAAGUGGCAAUUGUGCAGCAUGUACUCAAGGUUGUGUUUACGGAAGAGCAAUAUUAAGAAUAGCUCAGCAACGGUACCAGCAAGUAUAAGGGAAAAGCAGAAGCAGCCAGCAACCAUGAUUCCCUCUUUAAGUUGCCCUGGCUGAGCAUAACGCUGUGGGUAGAGUCGCAGUGUGCAUCUAGUUCCUUGGCCACAUGACACCGUCCAAGCAUAAUAUAUGAGGAAGCCAUGCACACAAUCAACAGACCUUUUAGCCCAGCAAGUCAUCGUGGCAAUUUUCUGAAACCGGAGGACACGAGCAUUGGAAGGGACAAUGUCCCCAAACCUUGAGAAAUAUGAUAUCACCAGGGACCAGAUUUGCUGCGUGCACAUCUAUCCAACUCCCGUCUCUCAGCACCUUGGCCCUUGGUGCGUAUGCUUUGGCCUCCAGUGGUGUCUUAGCAUACUCCACAACAAGCUUUGCACUAAAGCAUGCUAUCAAGGUUGUAGCUAGUAAAAAGAUGACGGCAGCCAGCAUGUAAGAUCUCUGAUCAGCUGAUGUGAUGACGAGAGACACAACUGUAGUUAGUACAGUAACCCAUGACAUGGAAUUAAGUAUGACAGAGAUCAUGGUCUUGUACUCAGGGAGGACAUGAUGCCAUCUCCAGAGUGAGAAGAUCAUCAUCAGGAAUUCUCGAAACACGCUUCCAUCCUGCAGGAGCAAUAUAUUUGACCUUUAUGAAGCUGCAUUUUUUCAUAUAUAAACCUGUAAAGGAACUGAUACUCUACAAGACCUAGCUAACAAAUUCAAUUAUUUCCAAAUUAGAUACAAACUGUGUAUGGUAAACUAGCAACCAAUUGUGAUGCCUUUCUCUGCAUCUCUCAUCCAGAUCAACUAAUAGUGAACCAUUGCUUUGAUCAAAAUGAGUGGAGAGAGGUGAGCUGGGUACUACUGACGAAGGGGAACUCCCUGUGAUCUUCGAAACUAGAAAGAGAAAUACGAUACCUACAAUUUAGCAUAUUGAGUUGGACCAAUAUUCUUGCGGGCCAUCAAGGAACAUAGUACAAUAGAGCGAUAGGUUGACAAACGAACAUUCAGUGUGUUCUUUGAUCAAUAUUUAACAGCAUGACACUAACUUGUAAAGCAGCAGAGCAGAAAGGCAAUUGUACAUAAACACAGAGAGCACAAGUGGUGAGAUUGGCCCUCAAACUCGGAACAUCAAGCCGCGCAAUCUGACAAUCAUAGAUGGUGCGUUGAGCACCCUAGCUAUGCUGGGAGCGACAAGGUACCUCAACUGAAUAAAAGGGGGCUACAAGCAAAGUGAGAAGAUAGUCGGAUGGAGAGACAAACAAGCCAUGUAGUACCUGGGAAGCAAUGAUUGUUAAAGAUUUAGAGUAGUGGUGGUUGAACUAUGUUGAUUCAGCUGAGUAACCCAUCAUCACAGUUCACAACAAAGGGUGAUAGACUGAAAUUACAGGGCAGGCCGGCAGGCCAACAAUCUAAUCGCAAUCUGAGCCAACAUACUUAGCGCUCGUCUAGUCCAUGGACCGAAGGAUUGGUAAAUCAAUGCUGAAUUGGUGGUGUACUGAACUGAAUCAUCCUUCAGUUAUUAUUAAUUAAUACAAUGGGCGAUGAAGGGAGGAAGAAAGGCAGAGUAGUUAGAGGCGAGGACGGUCUCACCUUCCCGUGGUGGGAGCGGACGACGAGGUUGGGCCCGUGGAGGAGGAGCCGCCGCGCUGCCUCGUGGGCGGUGAGCUCGGCCCUCUCCUCCGUGGCCGGCCAGCCGCCGUAGCACCUCCUCCUCCUGCACCAUCUCCUGCAGUACCCACCAACGCCCACAUCAUACGACCCCGAGCGCGCAGGGUUACUCACGGCGGGCCAGCGAGGGAGCUCGCUCUCUCUCUCUCUCUCUCUCUCUCUCUCUCUCUCUCUCUCACUCACCAGCUCCGCCAUUUCCUCCGCCGUCGCCAUCCCCGCCGGCCGGUCGCCUCCGCGCUCGAUCCUUAAAACGGCGGCCCAGUGGGUCAUAAGCGGAGCAAGAGGCAGGCCCAGGCCCAGGCGAACGACUCGCGGGCGGGCCGAGGCCCGGUGGGCCGGAUGGGCGAGGCAGAUGGAUAAGGGGACGGGGGCUGCGCCUGCGCCUGCGCACGCACUCCCGUGUCGCUUCGGCUUCCUCCGCUCGCCAUUUUCCGUCCCCAUUCGCCCGAACCGAACCAAACCGCAGGCAGGCGCACGCCCACCAACCAAAUAACACCACACGCCUCCUCCCUCCCUCCCCACCCCGCCCCCCUCGCCGCCGCCACUCGCCACCGCCGCCGCAGCGGCCCUCCCUCCCUCCUCGCCGCCCCCGCCGCCCUCCUCCGCCCGCUCGCUCCGGCCCCCCGAGGUACGCCCGCCGCCGACAGCCGCUCCAGUCCUCCUCGCGUCCCUGCCCGCUCCCGCGCGCCGCCGGGGCCUACUGGCUAGGGUUUUGGGCGGCGGCCCCGGCGACCCGCGGGGUUCUGGGAUUGGCGGCCCUCGCAAUCCGCCCAGGGCCCGCCGCGCCCUCCGCGGCGGUUUCUCCCCCGCUAGGGUUUAACCCCCAUUUCCGGGCGCGGUUGCGUUUCGCGCGCCGCUCGCGCCGUCUAGGGUUCGGCACUCGUUUCCCAUCCGUUUAGGGUUCCAGGGUCCGCGCGCCUGGGCUCGCCAGGCCUAACGGGCGCCGCAGGGACGAAUUUCUUUCUGUUGAUUUGAUUAGGAGUGACUUUUCCCCAUACGACUGUUUCCCAUUGCUGGAUGCCGAAUUCAAUUGGAGUCAAUUCCUUCCCAUUGACGUCUCUAAAAUCGAAUAAGGUGCAUAGAUUGGUUUUUCCAAUCUGUCCAUCACCGCAGAGUCCAGACAAUAGUUCACUGAAACCAUUAAACUGAUUGCUCUCUCUGCUGCGUAGUUUGCCGAAUCAUAUUUCUGUUGCUUAUUGCCGUUGAAUCUUUGAAGUCAUCAUCAUAUAUCAGAGUAAGGCGCGUACUAGAUUUUCCAAUAUGUCCGCCACUGCUCUUUGGUCCAUAUAAUACUCACUCCUCUUAAAACAGUAACUAAACUGAGGCUGUGGCUACAGAUGAGUUUGUCAGGUUUGACAUGCCACUCAGCUGUUGAAUGUGUGUGUAAUCCAUUUCGUUGGAAUUGUAUGCUUAUAUAGUUAUGCUGCGCAGAAUCGAUGCCGUGAGCCCAGCAGUACAUUUUCAGGCACAGCAGCUUGUUUCUUUUCUUGUGGCAAUUUUGAUUAUGCACCACCUUGGGUACAAGGGCUUUAGAUGUGAAAUCUCUCUUCAGAUAUGGUUAUCACUUGCUUUUGCAUAAUCCAAAGAAAAUAAAUUAAGUUCAUUGUCUGUUCAGAAGAGUGAAUAAGGGAUACCUGAAUUUUGUAUUUGCACAGUUAGUUGCUGGCCAUAGGAGUACUCGGUGGAGGAAUACCUAUAAAGGAGUUACUUGUAAAUUUUCUGCUGCAUCCAGUUUCUCCCAUAUAUUUUUUCUGGCAUUGGCAAGAAUGUCAGAAAGUGAGUUAUCAGUAAUAAAACCAGAGGUAUGACCCAUGCAUUUAUAAGUUUGGACUUCGUUUGCCUUGGAGGAAAAUACUCAUUACUAAUUUUAUUAUCAACUUGCAGUCGUUGAAGACUUAUAUUUGGCUUCAGUGCUUUGAUGGAUCCAUACAGCAAGUGGAGGAAGAGGUUGCCAUGUUCUGCCCUAUGAUAUGUCGAGAAAUUGUCAAAAAUGGCACAGGAUCAUCCAAAAAUCAUGCUAUUGCUCUCCCAGAAAGAGUUAAUCCAUCAAGUUUGAGUUUGAUUCUUGACUAUUGUCGGUUUCAUCAAGUCCCAGGGCGCUCCAACAAGGUACCGUAUGUUGUAACUUCCUGGCCUCUCCAUUUUACCUUAUUUUGCUGCUUUCCCUUUUUUGCAUCUUCGACCCAUGGGCAUCGUGUAAGUUUAGAUUGUUAUAUACUGUUUUUGUUUCCUUAUUAAUCACAUGUUUCAACUAUUUUUCUUGGGAAAAAGGUUCACCGACUUGGAUGCUGUAUUCUGUUAGCCUUGUACAUUUUAUCAUAGUCGACAAGCUUACCUCUGUUCCAGUUAUCUUAUUAGGCUUUUCGUUUAUUGCGCAGGAGCGGAAAUCAUUUGAUGAGAAGUUUGUUAGGAUAGACACCGAAAAACUUUGUGAGCUGACAUCUGCAGCUGACAGUCUUCAAUUAAAGCCAUUGGUUGAUCUUACUAGUCGAGCACUUGCUCGAAUCAUUGAAGGGAAGACACCUGAGGAAAUCCGCGAUAUUUUUCAUUUACCAGAUGACUUAACGGAGGCAUGUAAACUUUUCUUUUUGAGGAUCAGCAGGAGUUUGCUUUAUUAAUUUGAAACAGCACUUACUGUCAGCUUACAAUACAUGCAGGAAGAAAAAUUGGAGCCACUGAAAAAUAUAAACGAUGAUCCCAGGAUUCGCUUAUUGAAUCGAUUGUAUGCAAAGAAACGGAAAGAACUACAGGAGCGCCAGAAACUAAAGGUAAUUUUGAUAGAUUUAACCUAUUUUGCAUGCUUUUGAUAUGUUAUGUCCUGUGCAAUGAUGUUUAUCUCUUUCGUCUAGUUGUCUUGCUCAUGUUUGAAUUUUACAUGUUAUGUUGGGUUUGUUUCAGGAUAUUCAGGUACAGCAAGAGCAAAAGGAUGAGCGGUCUUUGGACGAGUUACUUUGUUUUAUAAAUGGGGAUGGAGGUAUGUAACUGCACCGAGUUAUAUUGGUUAUAUCUUGUUCUAUAUAGUAAUCGUAAAUUGCUAACAAAAGUUGUUGUCCUGAACCAAUGCAUAUGCCUUGGCUAUAUUUCAAGGAUCAAGUUAUUACCGCAGUGAAUGCAUAUGCACAUAAUUCCCUGCCAGUUAGUAGUAAUUCAUCAUUUGGUCGGUCAGCUUUAAAUGAGCUCCCAUAUUUCAGUAACUCGUUUGUCCACUGGGUCUUACGGAUUUUAUGUUUGACUGGAAUGAUGAUUGGAAUUGGCUUUUGAAAAUGGUUAGUGUAGAUUGAAUUGUUCCAAAAUGUGGUGUGGAUACCUUGGUACUGUACAGCUUUAGAUUAUCUGUGAUUCGCUGCCUAGUACGAACAGUAAUGAAUAUAUUCUUGUUAAUGGGACAAUGCGGGAGUAGUGUGAUGGUUCUAAGACUAGUCAGCUGCAGGACCAAUCUAAUUUACGAUGGCACAUCUAUUAGGCACUUCUGAUUUGUCAACUAAUGUUAAGUAUUUUGUUGCUCCCUUGUGAUUUUCUUCUGUUAGAAGAUCGACCUAUUGGCUGAGCUUGGUUACCAUUUCAAGUUAAACCAAUACCUACAAUGCAAGCAUGCAACAUGGAAUCAUUCUCCAUCAGUCUUUCCUCAUAACUGCAUGUAACCAGCUGUCAACUUGACUGACAGGUUCUGGAGGUGGGAAAGCUGGUAAGAAUAAGAAAAAGAACAAGAGAAGGAAGGAUCCUAAGAAUCUCCCAAAGGCUGACCCUGAACAUGUAAAUAAGGUUAUAUUUUGUAACCCUAAUUUUUCAGUGUAUGCUAUGUGAAUAAUAUUUUAUUUCUUACAUCUUUCUAUCUGUUGAGUUCAGGAAGAAGGUGCCUGUGCGGUACCAUGCAAUGCUGGUGCUGUUAAUAAUAUUUCUAGAGCUCCUUGCCCAAGUUCAGAUGUGCAAGAUGAUAAUGAGUACCCCUUUGAAGAUGGUGAUCUUGAUGAUGGACUUGAUCCUGCAAUGCAGGAAGAGCUUGAUAGGUAAGGAAACUAUCUCUCUUUUGUACAUCUAUUCAGGCCCUUAGCUUAGUUUCUGAUUUUGUACUAGUUGACACAUUUUUUUUUCCUGAUGGGUUGAAGUGUUAUGGGGCGCUUAUUGUGCAUCUACUAUUGUGUUGCUCAGUUACAAAUAGAUGUUAUUUUCCUGAAAUAAUGAACCCCUUGAUGUGUUUGUGCUCACUAGCUGUUCAAUAGAAGUCGCCGUGUUUAGAAUUCAGAACUGAGGAUAGAUCAAAUGGUUCAGCUGUAAUAUGGAGCAAGCUAAAUGUUUGCUAGUACUUGGGCUCACUGCUGUUUAUAUUUGAUUAUUCUAUUGUUAUGUGUACUGAAAAUGCUAUAACGAAUUUACUGCCCAUAUUCCUGUACCAAAGCCCUCAUGUGAAUUAAUGUCAUGCUUCAUUUCUGAACAAACAGGGAAGUUGAAGAUUUCGCUAGGAGGCUGAAUUCUGUUUGGCCUGAAAGAAUGCAUUUGGGUCAAGAAAGAAGAAUUGAGUCGCAGCUGAUUGGUGGUAAUGGUUCUCUGCAGAGAUUUUCUGGUAAUUUUUUCCAUAUAGAAUAGUUGAAACGGGUAAAGGAUUUAGCCCACUCUACUGAAUCUAGUUUUGGAAGAACAGAAGGUUUUACAUACUACUCCCUCCGUCCCAUAAUAUAAGAUGUUGUAAUAACAUCUUAUAUUAUGGGACGGAGGGAGUAAAGGACAGUGUUUGGUUAGUCCAACGUAAAGUAGGAAUUACCUCAUUCUUGCACCAGCUCAUUCCAUAACCGGGUCAAGUGAUGAUUUGUAUGUGCCCGCAGGGUUCAAUCACAGGUGAAUGCCAUGCGGCAGGAUGAGCAAGCUGAAGCCUAGGAAAUUUGUGCACAUACAGCUUCGAAGAGAGGUAGAGACCGAAGUGAGCAGCUGCUGCCGAAAAGGCCUUGAAACUCGGAACCGAGCUUGCAGACAAUGUGCAUCUGUUUCCCUUUGCCAUUUUUGGCGCAGGGUCCGGCUCGUCAAAGUUGGGAUGAAGCAUAGCAAGGUUUUAGAUAGAUCAAGGGGGGAAAUUUUCCGGUCCGGUCGUGUUAUUUCUUGGAUAGCGUUUGUUCAUUCUGGGUCGACUCUGUUUUUUCCGUCGUCGCAAUUUUCCUGGACAGAGCAGAGUGUGCAACUGUAAGAAAUGAUGAUGUCGUGACUGCUGUGAAAGAAAUUCCGUUGGUUGGUACUUAUGCAAAGUCUGCUUGGUUGCUUCCUCCUGAUGGGACCAAAAAUGUGUGUGUGUGUGUGUGUGUGUUGCUGACGUUGAAAUACAGGAAAAUCAUGCGUCGCUACGAUACCUGUCUAACGGCUGUCUAUCUAGUUCAACUAUCUUCUGUUGCAACAACGGAAUGAGCAAUGUGACGGCCGCCAUAGUAUUAUUAUUAUUACUACAUGUCCAAACGUUUGUGUAUGACAAGAUUCGUGACAGGACACAUGCUUAGCUCAAGCCUCUCGCGCUUGUGAUUUUGCUGGCAUUUUCAUGUCCUUUUGAUAACUUGCACCUUCACCAUGCACAAAUGGUUCAGACAUUCUAAACAUAGGCGGCUUUGGUCAGCAAGAGGAUGCACCUCCGACGAUGACGGCGAGCCGCAUAUGCAUGCACGGACAAGCUCGCCUCCCCCUCACGGCAGCCAGCCACCGACAUCGCCGGACCAUUCUCCCCCCGUUUGCUGCCCCCUCUUGUGGUCUGCCCUAUAAAUUAAAGCAGGGCAGCAAGCAAGAAGAGGCACAGCGGCAACAAGGAACAGUUGAAGAGAAGAUGGCUUCUUCUUCCUCGUCGGUGCUGCUGGUUGCGGUGGUGUUGGCCGCGGUCGUGUGGGGCGCGCACGGCAUCCCCAAGGUUCCCCCGGGCCCCAACAUCACGGCGUCGCCUGCGAGCUACGGCAACAAGUGGCUGGACGCCAAGACCACGUGGUACGGCAAGCCGACGGGCGCCGGGCCCAAGGACAACGGCGGCGCCUGCGGGUACAAGGAGGUGGACAAGGCCCCCUUCCACGGCAUGACCUCCUGCGGCAACAUCCCCAUCUUCAAGGACGGCCGCGGCUGCGGCUCCUGCUUCGAGCUCAAGUGCACCAAGCCAGAGGCCUGCUCCGGCAAGCCCACCAUCGUCACCAUCACCGACAAGAACGAGGAGCCCAUCGCCCCCUACCACUUCGACCUCUCCGGCCACGCCUUCGGCUCCAUGGCCAAGAAGGGCGAGGAGCAGAAGCUGCGUGACGCCGGCGAGGUGGAGAUCAAGUUCCGGCGCGUCAAGUGCAAGUACCCGCCGGGCACCAAGGUGAACUUCCACGUGGAGAAGUCCUCCAACGAAAACUACCUGGCGCUGGUGAUCAAGUUCCUCCAAGGCGACGGCGACGUGGUGGGCGUGGACAUCAAGCAGAAGGGCGAGGACAAGUGGACCGAGCUCAACGAGUCGUGGGGAGCCGUGUGGAGGAUCGACACCCCCCACAAGCUCAUCGGCCCCUUCUCCGUCCGCUACACCACCGAGGGCGGCACCAAGACGACCGUCGACGACGUCAUCCCCAAGGGCUGGAAGCCCGACACCUCCUACGAGGCCAAGGGCGGCUACUGAAGCUGAUGAUGAUGAUUCUUCUUCCGGCCAGCUUAAUUAAUUAACUUCUUUUGGCUCCAGAAGAAGAAUAAACCAGCCGCACAUAUAUCAUACAUAUGAUGCGAUGAGAGCAUGAGUAUAUAUACUUAUUCAUUCUUUUACUAUAGGGAAAGAGCGUGGGCAACUAAUAAUUUCUUGUUUUGAUGUAUCUAAACUUGCUCAUGAUUGUAAACAUGUCUUAUUAAUAGAAAUUG